CAGAUUACCUUUCAAAGAUGGCGAAGGGGGAAAAAAAAAGCUCUAAAACCACUCAGUGCAUAGGAAUUAGUUCUCAAAUAUCUAGACCUUAAUGAAAGCAGUUAUUUUGGCCGACUCAGGAGACAAGGAGAGCUUUUACCUACAGAGUGUUGAAGGACGCCCCACUGGGCAACCCAAAGGGCAGAGCCUGCCAUCCUCAGCAGCAGCACCCUCGCUGUCUUCCCAUCGUUGGAGACCGUAUCCCCUAACCUGGGAAUCUCGAGCCGGUGGCCACACCGUCAAGACUCCCCAAGGUCAAGGGAGUCACAGCCCUGCUCUGCGUUCCUGACUUUGGCCUUGGAGAGAGAUGGACAGUGUCACCACCACGCACACAGCCUCCUGGGCUGCACUGGGUUCAGCUGUGUGUCCGUCCAGCCAAGCCCCCCACCUCGCAUGGCUCUGCACACCGUCCCCAGGGAUGGUGGCAGCCAGACCCGGCCUGGGAUCCUCCCGCGGACACGCCUGAGCUUAGACCGCAGGAAAGUGUGGCUGAGGACAUAGUCG